ACUGUCAUUGAGCAGAACAGACACCUAGGGCCGGUGGCCGGCGGAGAAGUUGGGCCAUGGUGCACGGUGGGCGGAACUGCGAAACAGUGCAGCCACCGCAGGAGACGCGAUGCCUAUUCAAGUUUCAAAAUAUGAAAAUAUUGAAAACAGCUGCCCCAUGAUCCGGCAAUCCCACUUCUAGGCGUCUACACAAAAGAACCGAAAGCAGGAUCUGGAACCGAUAUUUGCACACCUGUAUCCACAGCAGCCAAAAGGUUUUGUUCGUGUUUGUGUAUUUAAUACGUGGCCCAGGACAGCUCUUCUUCUUCCAGUGUGGCCCAGAGACGCCAAAAGGCAUGCCAACCACUGAUAAAGGCAAGAAGCAAUCUGGAUGACUCCACAACCUCGUACCAAGUGAAAGGUACCAGCCACAAAGGGAUUCGGGCCACAUGGGUCCACCUACAGGAAGCUGUAGGACAAGCAGAAUUAGUCCAUGAUGGAAGACACCGCUGGGCUGGGGGCGGGGGCAGGGUUGACUGGGCAGGGGCCUGAGCUGCCUUUGGGGGAUUGUGGUUAAUGUCCUGUGCUCCUUUUCUCCGGCUUCCAUAACACAGCACCACAAGCUAGGUGGCUUAAAACAAUGUACAUCUACUCUCUCGCAGUUCUGGAGGCCAGGAAUCUGGGAUCGGGGCCACGUCCCCUCUGGAGACUCUCUGGGAGAAUUCCUCCUUGCCUCUUGCAGAUACCAGUGGCUUCCGGCAGCCCUUGGCGUCUCCCUGGCUUGUAGAUACAUCAUUGCAGCCUCUGCCCCUACCUCCGCAUGGCCAUCCCCUCCCCCACUGCCCGAGUGUCUGUGUUCAGAUCUCCUUCUCCUUUCUCUUGUAAAGACACCACUCCCUGGAGGUCGGGCCCACCCUAAUCCGGCCUGACCUCAUCUUAACUUGGUUAUAUCCACGAGACCCUGUUUCCAAGUAAGGCUGCAUUCACAAGUACCAAGGGUUAGGACUGGGAUGUAUCUUUUUGAGGGACCCAGUUCAACCUACUUCAUGGUCAGUAUCUUGGAAAGGGUUUGUCUAACACAGGUAGAUGCAUUCGUCGAAAAGAACAUAAAGUCCACCUGAGAUCUGUGCAUUUCACUGAGUAUAAGUGUCCACACAGAGAAACGAGUGUCAACCUCUCGUUCAUGAAGACACGGUUGGGGGUGUGGUGGGCGGGGGUCUGCACGUGUUCUGCUUGAGUUGGGAGCAGUCCCUCAGGCCUUUCUUCCUCAUUCGUGGCCUUGACACUUUCGAAGAGUUCAGGCCGAGUUAUCUGGAAGCUCAGCUGAGUCCAGAGCACUGUGGUCUGGGAAAACUAACCUGAGCCACAUAUUUAUGUUUAAUGGCCAGUUUUUGGGUAGGCACAGCUGAAAAAGCCACAGGUGAGUCAUUUUUAUAGUAUAUUUUCUUUAACCCAGCACACCUAAGACCUUCUCAUUUCUACAUGUUCUCAAUUUGAAAAAGUAUGGGGAGAGUUGACAUCUUUUUUUUUUCAUGCUGUCUUUGAAACUCAGUGUCUCCUUAACACAGCACAUUCCAGUUUAGACCAGGUACACGGCAGGUGCCUGACAGCCAUAGGUGGCUGGUGGCCACUGUACUGGACAGCUCAGGGCUGCUCGCGUGUCCUCAUGACAUGUCUUUCCCCAGAGCAAGGGACCAGAGAGGGCAAGAAAGACGCACGUGCCUUUGAGGACCUACUUUUCUGGCACAAUCUACCCAUUAGAAUCAAAUCGCUGAGUCUGGCCCCAGUCAGGAAGGAGCAAAUUAGAUUCCGCCUCUGAAGGAAAGUGUCAGAUCAUUUGUGGACAUAUCUUAAAACCGUACUGCUCUGUCUCUGUUUGUUUACAUCAGUGUGGAUUUCAUGUUAUUCCAUGGGCUCUAAAUCCAUCGCCACCAUCAUUUACUUUGGUGCUCAAACUGACCCAGGCUUGGCCAGUGUGAGCCCCCUUUCAGCUGACCCGUGUCCACCAUUUAAUGUGACCACAGCUCCAUUAUUCAUUGAACAUGUCCUUAUUUUGGGGGACAAGAUGUUCCCAGGCUCAAUUUUUUUUUCCUUUUCUUAGCUCUGCCCAGAUUCAUUUUACUGGAGAAUGGAGAUUUGGAAACCCACAUCUGGGUGCUGUCCAACUUUUUAAUUUUACCCAUCAGCCUCCUCGGUGUGAGGUCUUCUGUCCUGGCUUUUUCCAUUUGCAUUUCCUGUCGCUCAUAUUUUCGAGCCUUCUUCCUGAGCCUGUGGUUUUCCCUGCUGCAAACUGCUCUCCCACCUGUCCUGCCCCUGCCACUGAGGCUGCCGUCUUUGUGUUAUUUCUAGUGUCCCCGCCUUGUCUCGGCAUUGCUGUUUUAGAUACUGCAGGGUCUGCACACCCUGACACCUGUCUGUUGAUGUUGGCCUUGGUAUU